rnacentral:snRNA from 1 species
CAGCCGUGUGUUCAGCCCAGAGCGAACUAUCUUUCGCCUUUUACUACAAAAUUCCGUGUGCGGGACACAGAAGCGACUUAAAAUUCAACUGUUAAAAUUUUUGGAAACCUCCUUCGUUAGAUC